UAAUAUUUAUCGAAAAUAUGUUUUUAAAGGACGGGAAUACACACUGGUAUAUAAUAGACAAACAACUACAAGGCAUGCCCAGUUCCACCUAGUGAAUCAAACACUACACAUUGGAAACAUUAUCUGCUAGAAAGUAAAAACCAUGGGAGAUGUGGUAGAAAACAAAGAAUGGUACUUGAUUUCUUAGUGUCCUGAAGGUCUUCCAACCUCAGAUCAUUUCAAACUCCGCACUGUCUCUCUUUCUCUUGCCUUUGAUUCAAUCCCUGAUAACCAUCUCGCUGUUGAAACACUCCUUCUCACCCUCGAUCCUUAUAUUCGUGGAAGACUCACCGGUACCUUAGAAGGCCUUUUUGCUUCACAAUUUGAACUUAACCAGGUGAUUACAGCAUUUGGAGUUUUAAGGGUAAUUAGAUCAAAGGAUAGUAAAUACAGUGAGGGAGAUCUUCUACUGAAUCUAUCUGCAACAGUUGCCUGCAACAGUUGCUGAGUACAGUAUUGUACCAUCUUCUCACAUAAUUGGAAAAGAGAAAUGUUUCCUAGACACAAAUUUGAAACACAGACCAAACAAAUAUACGGUCGGUAUAUCAUUUUCACUUUUUAAAUAAUAUAUUUUCUUCAU